AUAGUUUGAUGCUGGCUCAGAACGAACGCUGGCGGCGUGCCUAACACAUGCAAGUCGAACGAGAAAGCAUCUUCGGAUGUGAGUAAAGUGGCGCACGGGUGAGUAUCACGUGGGUAACCUACCCUUUGUUGUUCGGGACAACACUUCGAAAGAGGUGCUAAUACCGGAUAAGACCACGCCCUGUUUGCAGGGUGCGGUAAAAGAUGGCCUCUCCAUGGAAGCUAUCGCCGAAGGAUGGGCCCGCGUCCCAUCAGCUUGUUGGUGAGGUAACGGCUCACCAAAGCUAAGACGGGUAGCUGGUCUGAGAGGAUGUCCAGCCACACUGGAACUGAGACACGGUCCAGACUCCUACGGGAGGCAGCAGUGGGGAAUAUUGCGCAAUGGGCGAAAGCCUGACGCAGCGACGCCGCGUGAGUGAUGAAGGCCUUCGGGUCGUAAAGCUCUGUCGGACUGGAAAGAAUACGCUCGGGGAACAAUACCCCCGGGCCUUGACGGUACCGGUCCAGAAAGCACCGGCUAACUCCGCGCCAGCAGCCGCGGUAAUACGGAGGGUGCAAGCGUUGUUCGGAAUCAUUGGUCGUAAAGCGCGUGUAGGCGGGGUGGUAUGUCGGAUGUGAAAGCCCUCGGCUCAACCGAGGAAUUGCAUCCGAAACUGUCAUUCUUGAGUACGGGAGAGGGAAGCGGAAUUUCCAGUGUAGAGGUGAAAUUCGUAGAUAUUGGAAGGAACACCAGUGGCGAAGGCGGCUUCCUGGACCGAUAC
rnacentral:rRNA from 1 species